rnacentral:rRNA from 1 species
GGUGAACCUGCGGAAGGAUCAUUAAAAAAAAAGAAUUUAUUUC